rnacentral:pre_miRNA from 1 species
CAGCAGCAAUUCAUGUUUUGAAGUGCUUUAAACGGUUCAAAACGUGAGGCGCUGCUAUA